rnacentral:rRNA from 1 species
UAAUACGUAGGGGGCGAGCGUUGUCCGGAAUUACUGGGCGUAAAGGGCGCCUAGGCGGUUUUCUAAGUCCGCUGUGAAAGACCGAGGCUCAACCUCGGGGUGUCAGCGGAGACUGGGAGACUGGAGUGUCGGAGAGGAGUGCGGAAUUCCUGGUGUAGCGGUGGAAUGCGUAGAGAUCAGGAGGAACACCGAUGGCGAAGGCAGCACUCUGGCCGAAGACUGACGCUGAAGCGCGAAAGCUGGGGGAGCGAACGGGAUUAGAUACCCCGGUAGUCCCAGCCGUAAACGAUGUCGACUAGGUGUGGGGGGCGUCACGCUCUCCGUGCCGAAGCUCACGCAUGAAGUCGACCGCCUGGGGAGUACGGCCGCAAGGUUG